GGAAGUCCCUGAGCGGCAAAACUGUUUUGCAUAUGUGAAGGAUGAUGUCAUUCAUAUUCAUAGACACUGGAUUGGAGGACAGAAGACCAAAAUUUUUCCUCUAAAUUUGCAUACACAAUUUCAUGGAAGAGAAUUGCAUUCUGUAUGCUUCAUCUCUGCGGAUACGAAAACCGGGUUUGAUUCCGAAGAACAUAAAAUAUCUGAUCAGUCUAGUUGGAUUGCAACAGGGUGUGAAGGUGGAUCUGUGAGAUUGACUAGGUAUGCAUCUGAGUUAGGAAAUUGGUCAACAUCAGAGCUACUAGGAGAACAUGUUGGAGGCUC